rnacentral:tRNA from 1 species
GGCGGGGGGGGUGAAGUGGUUAACACACCAGAUUGUGGCUCUGGCAUGCGUGGGUUCGAUCCCCAUCACUCGCCU